UACGAGGGGGGCGAGCGUUGUUCGGAAUUAUUGGGCGUAAAGGGUGCGUAGGCGGUUCCGCAAGUCCUGUGUGAAAUCUUCGGGCUCAACUCGAAGUCUGCACGGGAAACUGCGGGGCUUGAGUGUGGGAGAGGUGAGUGGAGUUCCCGGUGUAGCGGUGAAAUGCGUAGAUAUCGGGAGGAACACCUGUGGCGAAAGCGGCUCACUGGACCAUAACUGACGCUGAUGCACGAAAGCUGGGGGAGCAAACAGG
rnacentral:rRNA from 1 species